GGGGGUGACCGGUUUUGACAGCAGGCAGAGUUUGAUUGUAAGCACGUCGAGCGUUGUGUGGUAUCUCGUUAAUCGUAACACUCAAACUACAAAUGGCAAUAACAGCUAUGCACUCGCUGCCUAAUUUUCAAGGAAAAUUGGCUUAAUCGCCUGACACAAGGUUGUCUGGCGACGAGUAUCCCGAACGAUUGUUCUGCUCCUUAACGAUUGUUCAUACGGGGUAUCGAUUAUUUGGAGAUAGUGCGGUGCGAGCCUCGCGUAUCGUGCGAAAAUUCGGAGGCUGGGAUUCGCGUUCGGCUGUUGCCUGCCUGAUGCGGAUAGGAGGAUGAAAGGCGACUAAACGUGUAGAAAGCAUUCGGGUUCCCUGUUUGGACGCGGGUUCGACUCCCGCCACCUCCAC
rnacentral:tmRNA from 1 species